GGCUAUAGCUCCACAGCAGAGCAUGUGCUUUGUGUGCAGAAGGUCCUAGGUUCAAUCCCCAGUGGCAAACA